rnacentral:lncRNA from 10 species
CGGAAAAGUGAAGGGUCCAACAUUCCGAAUAUCAGGAGUACAGGUGAAUGCCAAACUAGUCAUCUCCCAUGAAGAAGAAUUAAUACCUUUGCACAAAUCCAUUCCUUCUGAUCCAGAAGAAAGAAAGCAGUGAGUGAUUUAUUUUCUCCAUUGUAAGAUUUUUGUUAUUCAAUAAUUGCAAAAUGAAUGUGCUGAAUUUUUAUGGUGUUAUUGGCUAGUUUUGAAAAAAAAAAGGAAGAAAUAAAGCAUAUUAUUUUGAAGUUCUAAUGACUCACGUUUUUCAAAAUUAAUUUUUCAGUUAAGGCAAUUACAAACUUAUCAUUAGUUAUUAACUUUGAUGCCAGGUAUACUAUCCCAUGCCACACAAAGGCAGCUCAUUUUGAUAUAGACUGGGGCAAAGAAGAUGAUUCCAAUUUGUUAAUUGGCAUCUAUGAAUAUGGAUAUGGAAGCUGGGAAAUGAUUAAAAUGGAUCCUGACCUCAGUCUAACACACAAGGUAUUUAUCUAUUUCUGAUUCUGUUAACCAUUCAUGUUGAAUUUAAUUUAUUCUAAUUCUUGCUUUUAAAUUAUGUUGGAAAUAAUGGAAAUCUGGAAACCAAGGCACUAGCUGGUUGUGUGACCUUGGUGCGUUUAGAAGAUGCUUUGCAUGAAAGGAUCAAAUUUAAAUGAUUUCUGAGAUUUUGCGUUACUGUGAAAUUAUAUGUUAUUAAGGCAUUAGGUGUAUUAUUUUUCAAAUUACGAGGUUAAAAGUCUUAUUCCAUCAUUAGCUUUAAAAAAAUUUUUGAUGCAUAAUAGAUGUACAUAUUUUUGGAUGCAUGUGAUAAUUUGAUACAAUCAUAUAAUAUAUAAAGAUGCAAUCAGGGUAACUGGAACAUUUAUCACCUUAAAUAUUUAUCUUUAGGAACAUUUAAGUGAUUCUUUUCUAGCUAUUUUAUAAUGUAUAGAUUAUUGCUAACUGUAGUCACCCUACUCACCUAUCAAACACUAGGUCUUAUUUCUUCCAUCUAACUAUAUAUUUGUACCCAUUCAUCAUUAAUUUUAUUAUUCCAGUAAGACAAAAUCCUUAAAAUCUUUUAUAUUUAUUUUUAAAAAACAUCGGCCUGUAAUCUCAGCUACUCGGGAGGCUGAGGCAGGAGAAUUGCUGGAACCUGGAAGGCUGAGGUUGCUGUGAGCUGAGAUUGCACCAUUGCACUCCAGCCCGGGCCGACAACAGUGAGACUCUAUC